GUCUGACUCCCUCCCUAAAUGUCUGCUGAGGGCUAAGUGCUCGCUGGCCCAACACGCUGGGCGCUACGAGGCCCACCAGACAGGUCCACACCUUCUCCCCAGCCCUGUGCCCCCUGAAGCUACUGCCUGGCUGUCCCCAUCCUGUUCCAGCCAAACCUCCCCGGACAGGUGCGUGCUCACAGCUCCAAGGCCCUGGCGUCCCCGAUCACCCUGACCCCUGAACCGGCUGUUCCUCCGCUGCACCAGGAGGAACCAGCUCAGCCCCGUGGACCCACGGCUCCCCAUGGCUGUCCCUGUGCCCACCCACUGGACUUCCGAAGUGCAGGGAUCGAACUCAGGACCUUGCAUUUGCCAGGCACAUGAGGCACCACUGAGCUACAUCCCCAGCCCCUCCUCUUUCCUCUUAAAUAAAUGUAUUUAAGUUCAAAGUGGGUUAACAAAAACAAUAUUGAGUUAGUACAGUGCAAAUAGCUCCCUGAUACGGAGAAGACUGGGGAAGACAGUGGCUGACGGAGUGGAGCAGAACCCAGGGGCGGCGGGGAGGCAUCUUCCUGAAAGCCCUGGUGAAAGAGGGUGACCUGAAUAACACAUGCGUGGGGAGCGGCCGGGGGCUCCAGGACCUGGACCUCCCUGUUCCUCCGGUCCUCCCCACCACCAGCUCGGAAGGAAGAGUGGGAGCUUCCUCUGCUAAGGGCCUGGACCCUUCCGGCCUCUCUGCCCUGCUGCUUGUCGUGUCCUCCCCGGAACCAUCAGCUCUGGAGCCCAGCCUGGCCCCACUAAGCCAGGGCACUGCCUGCUGUGCUAGGCAGCCUGGCUCCUCUGCCCUCCCAGCACCCUUGGCACCGCAGCUGCUGACAUCUAAGACAGGUCUCCAAAUUCCACCCUCAGGGGCUCUCUCCUGGCCCAGAGAACUCCUGUUCCUCCUCCCUGCCCCCUCCAUGCCAGUCUCUCCUUGGCUAUCUUUCCUGGGGGAGCAUGCAUGGCUCUGAGGCUGCAGGGACUGGGGGGACUCCGGGACUCACCCU
rnacentral:lncRNA from 1 species